UCCCAGUUAGUACAAUGGUUAGUAUAGGGCACUCUCAAAAUUAAACAUUGUGCUAACCGAGCAAUCGGUUAGUCAGUGGGUGAUCUGCUCAGAUCAGGGUUCGAUUCCCUGGCCGGGAA